rnacentral:rRNA from 1 species
AUUGAACGCUGGCGGCAUGCUUUACACAUGCAAGUCGAACGGUAACAGGGUGCUUGAACCGCUGACGAGUGGCGAACGGGUGAGUAAUGCGUCGGAACGUGCCGAGUAGUGGGGGAUAACGCAGCGAAAGUUGUGCUAAUACCGCAUACGUACUGAGGUAGAAAGUGGGGGACCUUCGGGCCUCACGCUAUUCGAGCGGCCGACGUCUGAUUAGCUAGUAGGUGAGGUAAAGGCUCACCUAGGCGACGAUCGGUAGCGGGUCUGAGAGGAUGAUCCGCCACACUGGGACUGAGACACGGCCCAGACUCCUACGGGAGGCAGCAGUGGGGAAUUUUGGACAAUGGGCGAAAGCCUGAUCCAGCCAUGCCGCGUGUCUGAAGAAGGCCUUCGGGUUGUAAAGGACUUUUGUCGGGGAGGAAAUCCCCAGCGUUAAUACCGCUGGGGGAUGACAGUACCUGAAGAAUAAGCACCGGCUAACUACGUGCCAGCAGCCGCCGUAA